rnacentral:sRNA from 1 species
ACAACAUUCAGCGAGCAAUUCUGCUCGCUCACUGUCAAACAAACAGAUUAGGUAACUGGGACAAUCUGGUUCCAAGAAUUUCCUAACAUCGUGUGGUUCCAAGAAUGGUUUCACAAAUUUUACAAGUCCUUAUGUACAGUGAAAGAAUGUCAGAUAAAAUCUUCUACAACAAAACUGCCAGAAUGUUGGCACUGCUAAGGUUCCUGUGCAAUUUGCAUGAUAUUUUGUACAUCACUCUAUAAGUUUCUUCGUCAAUGGAAGUAAAAGGAAAUUACUUCCAAAUGUACAAUUAAACUGGCGCAGGAGAACUUUGCAGAGCUGCAAAGUAGUCCUCAUUGACAUUCUUCAGUAGAUUGUCGCUCCCUAAACUGAUACACCAGGAUAUGGACCCUCUAUCCAAAGGCCAAGGGGAUACCUGCAGAACUGCCUGUUUCUUCCUCCUUUGCUGUGUGUAACAUAAUUGUUCCGGUAAGAAUUGUUAUCAGACCACAAAAUUCAGAAGCAAUGCUACUGAAGCUUUGACCAGCCCAGUCCUUGAACAUAAUUCCACUUGCCACUAUUGUAAGAGUCGUAAACAUUACAUAAUAAAUUGGAGAAACAACAGCUAAAUCAAAGGUAUCCAGUGCCUGCAAAGUAAUUUAUCUGAGAAACCACACAGAUGAUUGCAAUGAUAACAAAAAGCCAUGUGUGUGGAUAAGCAACCUGGUUCAUUCCAUCCAGCGUAAGCUUUAUAGCAACACCAAUGGCUUUGAUGCUAACGACCUACAGAAUACCAAUGAAGAGCAGAUGCCCAGAUAUAUCAUGAUAUUUGUCUGACCAUAUCGAGGUUCAAAGAAGAGAACUAGUGCUGCCACGACUACUAAGGUUGCUACCGCAUAUUGACUAACCUGGUUGAAUGGCUAAGUUCCAGAUUUCCUCUACAGAAUUAGGCAUAUGUUCUUGAGGAGCAUGUAUAACAACAAUAACUGAACCGACAAUGCAUGAUACACAACCAAGAACACCUAGCUUCUCAAGCCGUUCCUUCAGCACGAAAUGUGCUAAAAAUGAACUGACGAUUAUGCUUAGUGCCCCAAGGGGAGUCACAAGUACGGCUGGUGCAAAGGUAUAAGCAACGAAGUUUGCUAUCUCCCCAAGCAACACUUGUGCAAUCAACAGAGAUGACAUUCAGCUGCAUUCAAAGCAAAGAGAGAGAUGACCUGCGCGGACGCCGCCCUUGCCGGCGCGGAUGAGUCCGAUCUUCUUGAGGAUGAAGCUGGCGCCGAUGAAGGCGCUGGACGCCACCGCCAGCGAAAGCCCCACCGUGUUGUCCGACACCCCCAUCCCGGCUUCCUCC